UCUAAUGCUCUUUCCUCUCUGGGAGAAGGCACAUUCCAUGGCACUAUCCCUGCUCAUGGCUAUGUUGUGUGAAGAGCACAUUUAGCUAUUUUCUGUAGGCCUGGCAGCAAAUUAGUCCUCAAAACCACACAGCAAGGAGGGGGACCAAGGGAAGGCAGUCAAGCCCCUGAGGCCUCUACUGUCCAUGAACCCUACUCCCAGCCCCAGGUGCUUGACUUUCCCCAACACAAGUGUGUUAGCCAAGUACCUGUGGAGCACCUGCUUCCACCUGAGCCCUGGAGAAAGCAUAUGGGAUUCAAUUGGCACUGCCCUGAGAAGGUGUGUCAUCUGGCCAAGGCAAGAACUCGGAGACACAGCAACAGUUGAACAUAAAACUACAUGUUCAAGUGCCAGAACUGUCCAAAAUCAUGUUAAGUAUCCAGGAAUAAUGUACCUAUGACACAGCAAUGGCCUUGAAAACCCAAAAACAAUUUUUCAACCUGAAAAUAUCAACUGGCUUGUUCAUUGCCAUACAGCUAGUUGGUGGAAAACAUCAAGAAUCAAGCCCAGUGUUUUGAACUCCUAUCCAGAACUGUGUUACCUAUACCUGCUAUUCCUGCAACUAUUUUGUAUAUACCUUUAAUCUUCCAAAGCACUUCAUGCUCUUGGUUUCAGGCAGCCAAUAAAAGGUCUUAAUCAUC